rnacentral:miRNA from 1 species
CUUCAGAACUUUCUUAUGGACA